rnacentral:rRNA from 1 species
CCAGACUUGACAUGCAGUAGACAGUUCUAGAAAUAGAAUCUUCCUUCGGGACUGCUGCACAGGUGCUGCAUGGCUGUCGUCAGCUCGUGCCGUGAGGUGUUGGGUUAAGUCCCGCAACGAGCGCAACCCUUAUCAUUAGUUGCCAACAUUUAAGGUGGGAACUCUAAUGAGACUGCCUGGGUUAACCAGGAGGAAGGUGAGGAUGACGUCAAGUCCGCAUGGCCCUUAUGUCUGGGGCUACACGCGUGCUACAAUGGUCGGUACAGAAGGCAGCGAAGCCGCGAGGUGAAGCAAAUCCAAAAAGCCGAUCCCAGUUCAGAUUGUAGUCUGCAACUCGACUACAUGAAGAUGGAAUUGCUAGUAAUGGCGAGUCAGCAACAUCGCCGUGAAUACGUUCCC